UACGAAGGGGACUAGCGUUGUUCGGAUUUACUGGGCGUAAAGCGCGCGUAGGCGGAUCGCUAAGUCAGGGGUGAAAUCCCAGGGCUCAACCCUGGAACUGCCUUUGAUACUGACGAUCUGGAGAUCGGGAGAGGUUGGUGGAAUUCCGAGUGUAGAGGUGAAAUUCGUAGAUAUUCGGAGGAACACCAGAAGCGAAGGCGGCCAACUGGCCCGAUACUGACGCUGAUGCGCGAAAGCUAGGGGAGCAAACGGG
rnacentral:rRNA from 1 species